rnacentral:rRNA from 1 species
GACGAACGCUGGCGGCGUGCUUAACACAUGCAAGUCGAGCGGAAAGGCCCUUCGGGGUACUCGAGCGGCGAACGGGUGAGUAACACGUGAGUAAUCUGCCCUUGGCUUUGGGAUAACUACCGGAAACGGUGGCUAAUACCGGAUACGACAACCGUCUGCAUGGGCUGGUUGUGGAAAGUUUUUUCGGCCAGGGAUGUGCUCGCGGCCUAUCAGCUUGUUGGUGGGGUAAUGGUCUACCAAGGCUUCGACGGGUAGCCGGCCUGAGAGGGUGACCGGCCACACUGGGACUGAGACACGGCCCAGACUCCUACGGGAGGCAGCAGUGGGGAAUAUUGGACAAUGGGCGGAAGCCUGAUCCAGCAACGCCGCGUGAGGGAUGACGGCCUUCGGGUUGUAAACCUCUUUCAGUACCGACGAAGCGCCGAUGAUGGUGGUGACGGUAGGUACAGAAGAAGCACCGGCCAACUACGUG